rnacentral:rRNA from 1 species
GAUGAACGCUGGCGGCGUGCCUAUUACAUGCAAGUCGAGCGAACGGACGAGAAGCUUGCUUCUCUGAUGUUAGCGGCGGACGGGUGAGUAACACGUGGAUAACCUACCUAUAAGACUGGGAUAACUUCGGGAAACCGUAGCUAAUACCGGAUAAUAUUUUGAACCGCAUGGUUCAAAAGUUAAAGACGGUCUUGCUGUCACUUAUAGAUGGAUCCGCGCUGCAUUAGCUAGUUGGUAAGGUAACGGCUUACCAAGGCAACGAUGCAUAGCCGACCUGAGAGGGUGAUCGGCCACACUGGAACUGAGACACGGUCCAGACUCCUACGGGAGGCAGCAGUAGGGAAUCUUCCGCAAUGGGCGAAAGCCUGACGGAGCAACGCCGCGUGAGUGAUGAAGGUCUUCGGAUCGUAAAACUCUGUUAUUAGGGAAGAACAUAUGUGUAAGUAACUGUGCACAUCUUGACGGUACCUAAUCAGAAAGCCACGGCUAACUACGUG